rnacentral:rRNA from 1 species
UACGUAGGAUGCGAGCAUUAAUCGGAAUUACUGGGCGUAAAGCGUGCGCAGGCGGUUUUGUAAGCCAGAUGUGAAAUCCCCGGGCUUAACCUGGGAAUGGCAUUUGGGACUGCAAGGCUUGAGUGCGGCAGAGGAGACUGGAAUUCCUGGUGUAGCAGUGAAAUGCGUAGAUAUCAGGAGGAAUACCGAUGGCGAAGGCAGGUCUCUGGGCUGACACUGACGCUCAUGCACGAAAGCGUGGGGAGCAAACAGG